AACAUUACUGGGUUUUCAUUUUCAUAAUCACUCAUUUUAAGAGUGAAAACAACAGUUUCAAGACAAAUUAGGGGAAAAAAAAAACAAGCAGUAUGAAAAAAAUCAACCUUGAAGAUCUUCACACCUUUUGAGAUCUUAUAUCUUCAAGUUGUACCUUCUGCGUUAGCUCACAGCACUAUGCACAAUUUACAAUCAAUAGAAAUCCUAAACUGGUCUAAAAGGUCAAAAUAAAGCACAGCAAAAUACUGUGCACUAGAGUUUAGCAGGGUUUGUUUUCAGUCUAAUUAUCCUUACAACAGCCUUGAAUCCUUAUCUUUGUAACAGCCACUGUAAUUAACAUUACUGGGUUUUCAUUUUCAUAAUCACUCAUUUUAAGAGUGAAAACAACAGUUUCAAGACAAAUUAGGGAAAAAAAAAAAACAAGCAGUAUGAAAAAAAUCAACCUUGAAGAUCUUCACACCUUUUGAGAUCUUAUAUCUUCAAGUUGUACCUUCUGCGUUAGCUCACAGCACUAUGCACAAUUUACAAUCAAUAGAAAUCCUAAACUGGUCUAAAAGGUCAAAAUAAAGCACAGCAAAAUACUGUGCACUAGAGUUUAGCAGGGUUUGUUUUCAGUCUAAUUAUCCUUACAACAGCCUUGAAUCCCCAUCUUUGUAACAGCCACUGCGGCUCCUGUUUCCAUCAUUAACAUUACUGGGUUUUCAUUUUUGUUGUCAUUCAUUUCAAGAGUGUCAAAAUAAAGCACAGCAAAAUACUGUGCACUUGAGUUUAGCAGGGUUUGUUUUCAGUCUAAUUAUCCUUACAACAGCCUUGAAUCCUUAUCUUUGUAACAGCCACUGUAAUUAACAUUACUGGGUUUUCAUUUUCAUAAUCACUCAUUUUAAGAGUGAAAACAACAGUUUCAAGACAAAUUAG